rnacentral:sRNA from 1 species
UGAACGCCUUUAAGGCCGAAGCCAGCCUA